UGAACGCUAGCGGGAUGCCUUACACAUGCAAGUCGAACGGCAGCACGGACUUCGGUCUGGUGGCGAGUGGCGAACGGGUGAGUAAUGUAUCGGAACGUGCCCAGUAGCGGGGGAUAACUACGCGAAAGCGUAGCUAAUACCGCAUACGCCCUACGGGGGAAAGCAGGGGAUCGCAAGACCUUGCACUAUUGGAGCGGCCGAUAUCGGAUUAGCUAGUUGGUGGGGUAACGGCUCACCAAGGCGACGAUCCGUAGCUGGUUUGAGAGGACGACCAGCCACACUGGGACUGAGACACGGCCCAGACUCCUACGGGAGGCAGCAGUGGGGAAUUUUGGACAAUGGGGGAAACCCUGAUCCAGCCAUCCCGCGUGUGCGAUGAAGGCCUUCGGGUUGUAAAGCACUUUUGGCAGGAAAGAAACGUCGCGGGUUAAUACCCU
rnacentral:rRNA from 1 species